UCUAACAUACAUUCCAAUAUAUCAGUUGAUAACGGAAUGCGCGAUAUUUUGCGCACUUUUUCGUCUUCUAUUUUCUAGCUUUAUUUUUAUAAUAUUAAUAUUUUUCUCGCUUUUACACUGAUUAAUGAUUUUGUGUUUAUAAUUGUGAUCGAUCGAUGUAUUAAAUUCAGUAUUCGUGUAUAUAUAUAUAUAUUAUAUAUAUAUAUAGUUUAAUAUAUGAAGUAGAAGCAGUGUUUAUUCGUAAUCCGUAUGAUUUAUUUUAAAAAUAAUCUGAUUAAAUAAAAUUAGAUGCAAUAUAAAUUCGCGAUGUGGAGUCAGUGUUGAUACAUAUUCUUCAUGAUCCUAGAACAGGAAGGUCAUCGUGCAAAAGAUCAACAAAAACUGAUAAGUUCAAUAAAAGAAAAAUCAUUUGUCAUCGUUCUGAGGUAGGAUGCUUAUCGUGCAAAGGAUCAGCAAAGACUACAAUUUUUUCCCUUUUUUCUAUCUUUGAUACGGCAACGGAUAUGUCGCAGAUGCACUAGCAAGUAAUAUGCAACAUUUCUUGCAAGAGAAACUUUUGUGACAUGUGUAACAGAAUAUGUGUAAACAUGUGUGAACACAUCUAAAAUAAUAACUGUUAUUUCUAACUUCCAACGAUGUCCCAAAUAUUUUGUAAGAACUCGUGUGCUAAAGAUAAUGGAAAAAAUGUGUUGAGCGAAGGAAGGGAUACUUAGAUUGAUUUCGUAGUGGAUAAAUUUUUCCGAAUUUUGGGAUAUAAAAAGCAAAAAUUAUCGGAGUAAAAUACAAAAACGGAAUGUCUUAAAUAAUCUUUCGAGUGAAUUUAAUAUCAGUGAAAAUGUAAUUACACAAUUUACAUACACAUUUCUAUCGGGAAUUGAGAAAAAUAUAAGUAAAAUAUAGCGAUAAUACGAUGGAUGAUAUAUAUUCGAAUAAUCGAAAUUAUUUCUAUGCCGUAAUGUUUAUUCAUGAAAAAGACUCAGAUGAAAGAACUCUAACAAUUUGGAUGUACCAUUUCUUUCGCGGACUGAAUGAAGGAGUCAAAUAUAUAUGAUGGAAAGGCAUAUGAUUUGCAAAUUAUUAAGGCGGCCCUGGUUUAUUUUACGAAAUGUUCACAAGAUGGUGCUAUAUAUGUGGGACUUGUUACGCCUCUUCUGGCAAGACACAUAACUAACAUGUCUCGGCGCCAUCAAGCGCAUACGCGGGAAACCAAUAAACAAAAGUGACGAAAAAGUCGCCGGAAACACAAAGAAAAUCAUUGUUCUUUCUUCGACUCUCCUAGAGACAACAGUCAUAACUGCUGGAAGCCACAGUCUAAUUAUACCUGCUACACACCGAACAAAGCUGAAUAAACAUCACAAUUGUUACUUGAUGUGCAAAGUUUCUCUCUACAUAGUGGAUUGUCAACGAUAAAUCCACAGACAUCGUCUACUGUUAUUAUUAUCAAGACCACUUAAGAUUGUGCGUACUGGUACAAUUUGCCAAGAAGUUCGCCGUUCUGCUAAUUACAGAUAAUCAUUGCUUCUCAAGUCAAUUUCGAUUCACAUCGCAAAUGAGUAUUUUGGAACCUCAGAACCAUAGAACUUCUUAAGUAUUUUUUCCACAUAGUGGGCUGUCAACAAUAAUUUGACCACAAUUGAUGACCUCGACGUGAUCUUUGUGCAUCAAGAGUUCCUACAAAAGGAAAAACGUAUCGGUGUCAACCAUACUGCCUCAUCAUAAAAUGCAUACCUCAUGUUCAUAACACUUGAAAAAGAAUCACAAAUAUCGAACACCAUGUUAAGAGGCAACAGUAUACAUACAGAUUGAAAUAUCGGACAAUCUCUAAGGCCCUUGAUCAAGACACGAUCGAGCUGAUUUCAAAUGUGAUACAACAGGAUUCAACGUGAGUCUGAAACCAAUCUCCAUGAAUCAGCAACAACGGCAAGUUUAACAUAGAAAAUACAGACGACAAAGGAACUCAUUCUGAACAAAGGAAUCAAAAUAACAACGGACAAUGGACGCCACGAAACACUGCGACAGCUUCACCCAUCGCAACAGCGUCAAUAACAGGAACAAUAGCAGGAAAUAUAUCUGGUGUGUAGAACCUGUACAAUUAUAAUCAAUCACUAGGCUAUAACAAUAUAUUGCGUUACAAAUGUUAUUCGAUGAGUAAACAUAAAUUGGCGGCAUUCCCCAAAAUUCGACCGGAUCUCUGGUUCAUCAUGGCUGAGGCUGAAUUCACUACUUUUGGAUUCGUUGAUGAUAAAUUAAAAUAACUGAUUGUACUUAACUGCUCUGAUUUCAGACGUGAUACAAAAGGAGCCCGCUACAGACAAAAACAAAGAAACAUCUACGUGAGUCAACGCUUCCAAAUAGAACACCUUUUCAGUUCCUGCGACAAAUGAGCGAAUUGGCUGAUGGUUUCGUUGAUGAUACCAUAUUGCACCAACUUUGGCUUGAACGAAUACCAACAUAUAUCAAACCCUAUCUGAUUACCACAAGUAAACUUCCACUUGAUGCCAACUAUACUAGCCGAGUAUGCAGACCGUUCUUACGAGCUGAUGCCUUACGUUCAACAAAAUAACCAGGUUAUGUAUGGCAACCUUUACACGCUAUCUUGCAUCACCGACUCUUUAUUACAUUGACUCAAAGUUCAUAGAAAUUCAAAAAUUUUUUGUGAUGGAGAUCAAUGAGUUCAUAUCACAACUCAUUCUACUGCAACAACAAAACCAACAACUGCAGGCUUGACAAUCUCCGACGCAUCAUAGUCGCAGCAGUCCAAAGUCAUCGACACCUACUCGCAAUAGAAUCUCCUAUUAUCACCAAAAUUUUGGCAGCGAAGCAAAACGCUGUCUUUUACCUUGUAAAUUCGCUUCAAUGAGAAACUGACAACAACAAAUUAGGGAAACUAACGUCGCUGUCUUCAGUAAGAGCAGUGCAAGACAGCAAUUACAGACCAAAAGAGCUCCGACUACACUACCAAACAGAAAUUCUUGAUUGACUCUAGGUCCGUCGUGUCCAUAACAUCUGCAAAACGUUUCAUAGAAAUAGAAGUACCGACUCACACUUUAUGCUGCAAAUCCAUCACAAAUAUACGGCACUAAAAUUAUCAACUUUGAUUUAAAUCUCCGCAGAGGUUUUUGCUGGUCUUUUAUCAUCGCAGACGUGGAAAUAGCAAUCAUCGGAACUGAUUUCUUAAUUCACUAAAACUUGUUGAUUGAUUAAAAAUAUCAACAAUUGAUAGAUCCAGUGUCUCACCUCUUGUCGAAAGGUAAUGCAAUGGAAGCACAGCAUUACGGCAUCUUAUCUAUAAGUUCAGAUUUGCCUACUAAAUAUGCUGAACUUUUAAAACAAUUCGUUGAAAUCACUUGGUCGAUUAGAGCAAGACAUGCUUAAAUUUAAAAGCACAUCCAUUUGUGCACAAAAUUAUUAUGCAUGGUCUACUAGUCUUACUGUACGAGCACGUAAACUAGCGGAUGAAGAGGCAACGGCGGCAAAAACUCAUAUCAGAGAACUUCUGAACUCCGGAAUCAUUAGAUUCUCCAACAGAAUUUACGCCAAUUCUAUCCAUAUGAUAGGAAAGAAAGACAUCACUGGAGAACGUGCGGUGACUAUCGUAAACUCAAUGAUGCAACUGAUCCUGACAUAUAGUUCUCCGCUCAAACUUUCCGUGUAUACACGAUAGAAAACAUUACAGCAAAAUUGAUUGCGAAAAAGUAUAUCUACAAUUACCUAUGCACGUGGACAACAUUGAGAAACUGCCAUCAUAACAUCUUGGGUUGAGUACUUAGGUAUGCUUUUUAGUCUAAAAAACCACAUCCAGUCGUACCAACGAUUUAUGGACGCACUUUUCAGAGACCUGGACUUCGUCUUCGUCUACAUGGAUUGCAUUCAGGUAUUCUCGGACGAUGAAGACUAAUAUCUGGAACACACACAUUGAACGCUUAAAAGACAACAACCUCGUUAUCAUUCUCAAAAACUGCCUGUUCAACCAAACAGUAAUAAACUUCCUGGGUUACAUCAUUAAUGAACAUGGUUACAUUCCAAGGUGCGAACGAGUUGAUGCCAUUAAAGGAUAUCAGAAACCUAAAACUAUCGCUAAACUUUGCAGAUUUCUCGGCAUGAUCAACUAUCAUUGCUGUGUACUUCAGGCAGUUCAGAUCAUGUUGCCUCUCAACAGUUACCUUAAAGUGUCAAUAAAAAAUGAUAUAUCCAAGAUCACAUGGAGUCCUGAAGCCAAUGAGGCAGUUGAAAUACGCAAAAAUACUCGCAAUUAUCACAUUGCUGGCUUUUCCGUUUUCUAACGAACCAAUAACGCUCACAUCCAACGCAUUCGCAUCUGCUAUCGGAGCUAAACAAUAACAGCUAGAAGAUGAUACCUAAAAACCCGUAGGAUUUUUUUCCAGAUAACUGGGCCAGAUAGAACAGAAAUACAGCACAUACUAUUGUAAACUUCUUGCUGUUUUUCCAUCAGUCAAAUUUUUGCAUCACUUUUUCGAUUUCCGUCAAUUUGUCAUCAAAACGGACAACAAACCACUUACUUUUGUCUUCCAAUAAAAACUGGACCAAACAUCGGAAAGUCAACUACUAUAGCUCGAAUACAUCUCACAAUUUUUCACUGAGUUAGUCUAUGUGAUGAUAGGUCUAUGUGAUGAUUAGGGUGAUGAUAACACAGUCCCAGAUACAGUAUCCUACAUUAAUACUAUAAACAUGCCAUCCAUUCUCACAUCUCUUGAAAUCCAACAAGCACAACUGAACGACAAUGAUCAGAUCAGAGAUAUAAUUUUAUUGAAACUACGAAAAUCACACUAGAACCAGGAAUAAACAUCUAUUGUGACAUUUUGUCAGGAUUCAUCAGACCAUUCUUACCAGAAGCAUUACGCAAGAUAGUUUUCAAAGUCAUCAUAAUCUUUCACACCACAGCAGCUGGAUCACAUCUUUAAAUUUAUACGAAAAAAAAAUUUGGCUUGAUCCUUAAGGACGUACUCAAAAAUGGUCUAGAGAAUAUAUUGCUUGCCUAAGAGGAAAAAUUCAUCGUCACAAUAAGAUCAAGCCAAUCCACAUAGACGUACUUGAUAACCACUUUAACCAUAUUCACUUGGACAUCACCUUUCUGCUGAAUGUCAAACACUACCGAUACUGCUUAACCCUUUCGCGACGGCGCACCUGUACCAUACUUUGUAAUUCCUUCCGCGAAAGCGCAGUAACACUUUUUCAGUAACACUUUGUAGCGAUCUCUACUUAUUAUUCUGCAAAAUAUGUCGCUUUGCAAUAAUUUAUUUUUGUUCCAACAUUCAUCAAUUGAUAAUUUUUUUUCUCUAUACAUUAUUAAGCAAACAGCGAUCAAACAGUACAGUUCUUCUGUCUUUGUCCCAGGUUCAGAAUUACUAUUAUCUAUAUUCUCUCUACUAUUAUCUCAGAAUUACAUAUUAUCUCGUCUCCAAUGAUUAGUUGUUUUUUUCAACAAUGAAAUCCAUCAAUUUCCCAGAUACGAAUAAUUUGAAAAAUUGCAAGAUUUUCCAAGAAUCAGAAAUGUCUGUUUGAAUUCCCGAUUGUUGUCUUGUAAAAUCAUGAAUGGUGAGCCCACAAUUU